rnacentral:rRNA from 1 species
UCAUUUAGUUGUCGAGCGGCGAACGGCUGAGUAACACGUUGGUACCUACCCCAGACUCAGGGAUAACACCGAGAAAUCGGUGCUAAUACCGGAUAGUCCUCGCCUUGUGCGGGGUAAAGAUUUAUCGGUUUGGGAGGGGCCUGCUGCCUAUCAGUUUGUUGGUGGGGUAAAAGCCUACCAAGACUAUGACGGGUAGCUGGUGUGAGAGCAUGACCAGCCAGAAUGGGACUGAGACACGGCCCAUACUCCUACGGGAGGCAGCAGUAAGGAAUCUUCCGCAAUGGACGAAAGUCUGACGGAGCGACACCGCGUGCAGGAUGACACCCUUUGGGGCGUAAACUGCUUUUCUGAGGGAUAAAAUUCUGAUAUUACCUCAGGAAUAAGCACCGGCUAACUACGUGCCAGCAGCCGCGGUAAUACGCAGGGUGCGAGCGUUAUCCGGAAUUACUGGGCGUAAAGCGUCCGCAGCCGGACUUGUAAGUCUGAUGUUAAAUCCCCCGGCUCAACCGGGGAAUCGUAUUGGAAACUGCAGGUCUAGAGUAGUACAGAGGUAUGUGGAAUUUGUGGUGUAGGGGUAAAAUCCGUUGAUACCAUGAGGAACACCAAAAGCGAAGGCAGCAUACUGGGUACAUACUGACGGUCAGGGACGAAAGCGUGGGUAGCGAAAAGGAUUAGAUACCCUUGUAGUCCACGCCCUAAACGAUGGAUACUCGGCGUCGGAGGAUUCGACCCCCUCGGUGCCUAAGCUAACGCAUUAAGUAUCCCGCCUGGGGAGUACGGUCGCAAGAUUAAAACUCAAAGGAAUAGACGGGGACCCACACAAGCGGUGGAGCAUGGGGUUUAAUUCGUCAAUACGCGGAGAACCUUACCAGGACUUGACAUCCCGAGAAUCCCGCAGAGAUGCAGGAGUGCCGCAAGGAAUUCGGUGACAGGUGCUGCAUGGUUGUCGUCAGCUCGUGCCUUGAGGUGUACGGUUAAGUCCGCUAACGAGCGCAACCCUCGUCGUAUGUUGUACGUUUCAUACGAGACUGCCUGGUACAACCAGGAGGAAGGUGAGGAUGACGUCAAAUCAGCAUGGCCCUUAUGUCCUGGGCCACACCCGUGCUACAAUGGGGUAAACAAAGCGCAGCAAUGCAGCAAUGCGGAGCCAAUCGCAAAGAUUACUUCUCAGUUCGGAUUGAGGGCUGCAACUCGCCCUCAUGAAGUUGGAAUCGCUAGUAAUCGUGAAUCAGCUACGUCACGGUGAAUAUGUUCCUGGGUCUUGUACUCACCGCCCGUCAAAUCACGAAAGGAGGGGGCGCCCGAAGUCGUGUUAGUCUUUUUAAGACGCAUGCCUAAGGUGAAAUCUCUGAUUGGGAUUAAGUCGUAACAAGGUA